UGGCAUAUAUGACAAAGUGUACGUGAUCGUUGCUAUAAAUGUGGCCAAACUGCGCAGGUGGAGGAGAGGUUCAACUUGAAGUCCUUUACGUGGGGAAGCUAGCUGCUUCACAAGUUUGCCCUGUAAGGUUCUUCCAUCGUCAUCCGAUGAGUACUAAAAUGUUAAGGCAUUUGUUUUAUCCAUCUGCUGUGCAAGUUUGCGACGGAAAAUUAAACGAGCUAUGUUUGUGAUAAUUGUUCAAGCCUUUUAUGUUCUGCUAGUUUAGUUUGCAAAAUAAAUAAAUAAUUGCACUGUAAAAUCGGACACUGGUUUUUCGGAGUCAAUAUAUCGACAUGUGCUUGUUGUGUGGUUUGAUUUGAGAUAUUGCUUUGAGCUUCAAA